rnacentral:misc_RNA from 1 species
AACGCACCUUGCGCCCUUUGGCUAUUCCGAAGGGCAUGCCUGUUUGAGUAUCAUGAACACCUCAACUCUCAUGGUUUGCCAUGAUGAGCUUGGACUUUGGGGGUCUUGCUGGCCUACGGUCGGCUCCUCUCAAAUGAAUCAGCUUACCAGUGUAUGGUGGCGUCACAGGUGUGAUAACUAUCUACGCUUGCGGCUUUCCAUCAGGCAACCUUCAGUGAUGGAGGUUCGCUGGGGCUCAUAAAUGUCUCUCCUCGGUGAGGACAGCUUUUUGAACGUUUGAUCUCAAAUCAGGUAGGACUACCCGCUGAACUUAA